rnacentral:rRNA from 1 species
CCUACGUGGGGCAGCAGUGGGGAAUAUUGCACAAUGGGCGGAAGCCUGAUGCAGCAACGCCGCGUGCGGGAUGACGGCCUUCGGGUUGUAAACCGCUUUCGCCUGUGACGAAGCGUGAGUGACGGUAAUGGGUAAAGAAGCACCGGCUAACUACGGGCCAGCAGCCGCUGUGAUACGUAGGGUGCGAGCGUUGUCCGGAUUUAUUGGGCGUAAAGGGCUCGUAGGUGGUUGAUCGCGUCGGAAGUGUAAUCUUGGGGCUUAACCCUGAGCGUGCUUUCGAUACGGGUUGACUUGAGGAAGGUAGGGGAGAAUGGAAUUCCUGGUGGAGCGGUGGAAUGCGCAGAUAUCAGGAGGAACACCAGUGGCGAAGGCGGUUCUCUGGGCCUUUCCUGACGCUGAGGAGCGAAAGCGUGGGGAGCGAACAGGAUUAGAUACCCCGGUAGUC